CGUAGACUGACGCGGGCCCCGCGCGGCAGGUGGAGGUGCUGCGGGGGCCCCGCCGCCCGGUCUGCGCCCAGACCCCCGCCCCGCCGCCACCUGGGGGGAAGGACCCCGCUGGCCUCCCAGGGACCCCCACCCUGGCCGCACACGGCGCCCCCGCCGGAGCGGGGGAGGGGAGGGCCGGCCCCGCCAACGUCAGCGACCUGGGCUCAGGUCGGCCGCCCCUCCGCGCCGUGCGGCCACGGCACCAGGGGUGCCCCACCGAAGCCCCGGGAGGAGGCGGGGGAGCCCAGCUUGCAGCCAAGAGCGGCCCAGCGGCGCCACCGGACUUGAGAAAGUUUGUGCGCGCCCCUCCGCGCCACGGCCACGCGCAGAAGAGACUCGGAGCCGGCCCCAGGUCUGGCCCGGAACCGCCACGCGCGGUAAGCAGGACACCCGCGGGCGGGGGCCGCAGCCUGGGGCCCGGGUGGGGGCCGCGGCACCCGGGCCCCUCCCCCUCCGCGGCCUCCACGUCAGCAGCCACCCCCCACCCCCCCGCCCGGCAGCCCGCCCGCCCCGUCCGCCCGCCCGCCCAGGCCUCCCAGCCCCGUGUUGCGCGCUCACUCGUGGGCCCCCGCCCGCUGGUCCUGCCGCUGGCUUACUCGCCCCCCGCGCGGGAGAAGCCGGGACGCUCCGAGGCGCGGCGCCCGGGCCCCGGCUGCUAUAUAGGGCGGCGGCCCAAUCCCGCCUGGACACGUCAGCGCCCGCCCGCCCCGCCGCUGGGGUCCCCGCCGCCCCGGGCCGCCCAGCACCCGGGAGGCCCACCCAACUGCAGGCGUGGUUCUGCAUCCUUUUUUCGGGUGGGGAAGGCGGUGCCGAGGAGUUGGGAAAUUAAUCACCUCCAGAAAGCAGAGGGAGCGCGCCCCGCAAGAACCCGAGUGGAAACAACCGAAGACCAGAAAGGGAGCAGGAAGGACGGCUGCUCUGGAAGCAGAUGUCACCAGUACCGCCCACCUCCCCAAAAUCAGAAGAAAAACCUCAAAGGAUGCCCACCACAUCGUAAACGGAUGGCCACACUGGCACGAGGUCCUACAGCGCAGUGAGGCUCCCAGGCGGCUCCAGGGCUUUCAUUCCCUCAUUCCUGCGUGCCUAUUCCUUAUGUCCCUCACUUUUAUAAACUAUCCCCACCCGAUUCCUUGGCAAUCAACUUAAUCUCCCCCCCAAAAUGUAAAAUCCCCUUCCUUUAAAGCGUGUAUUACUUAUGGCUCCAUCUCUACAUAGAUGUAUACACGCAAAAGAACCGGUGUGUGGCCUCUGAGCCCACGGUGGAUACGCAGGACUGGGCGGAACGGAAUCCCUACUCUCGGGGUCUCCACCCUCCGGGAAGGACUUGUCACUUCUGCAUCCAUUGUGUUUACUAAGUGAUAACUGCCACUGUUUCUUUUAAGGGUAUAAAGGGAGUCGAGCAAUCUGUAGAGAUGUCAGUCUGAACCUCUGGCAAAGUCGCAGGUCAACAGAAUCCUGCAUAGGGCACAGGAUCAACUACAGAAAGAAGCACCAAGAAGUUCCUUAUUGACCAGAAGAGGGGUGUAAAAGAAGUUAAGAAAGACACAGGUUCUUGGCCUGAGUGACUGGGAAGAGCUGCCCUCACUGAGGUGGGUAAAAUUCAAGGAAGACUGGAUGGAUAAGGGGGUGUGAUGCCCUGACUGGGCAGGUGGGGAAGUGGAGCAGGCAACUGUAUGUGCAAGGUCAGGGGAAAAGCCUAGGAGCCAGCAGAAAUACCAUGCACUUCAUGACACCACCUAGGGAGGGGAGCAGAAUCACAGAAGGCAGAGAACACCUGCGGCUUGACGCAGAGAAGGAGCCAAGGAUAUCAUCAGCAAAGCCGUGCUCUAAGUCAGCAGCACGGAACUGGGCAGGUGGGCCUCCCUAGAUGUGGAAAUAGGCAUUCCCUUCUGUGUCACUGCUGUGGUUUGUUGGUAACCUUUCCGUGGGGAUUAACCAAUCAGCAACUAGUGCAAGUGUGUUUUUUGUUGCUGUUUUGUUUUUGAGGGCUCAGCACUGCAGAGGGAGAUGGAGAAAGAGUAACGGGUAGGGAUUCGGUCCGCUGUCAAGGAACUUCCAAUAAAGCUAGGAAGUCAGCACAGGCACAGUACCUAGUACACAGGACACCGUAAAGAGUUAGUUUAAAAAACACUGUUAGCAGAAGAGAUUACAAAAUCAUAUGCUAACUUUGUGCUAAUAACCGUCCAGAAUGCUUCUGUGCUGAUGCUCACAACCAGCAUUUCCUCCCAGCAGGCUUAGCACACUGAAACUAAUAAAUAGUUCGUAGAAGCAAAUUUUAGAAAUUCCAUGGCUAGCAAUAUUCAGACCAAAUGAAGUGUGAACGUCUGUCUGUGACAUUUGAGUUUUCAGCCCUCAAAGGGACGGGGGAGAAGUUUGGGUCUGCUCAAGGUAGGAGGUGAGAAGAGAUACCCUCCUAUUCCAUAAAGUCAUGAUCCCCAAAAGGGCUACACUUACCAGAAGAUAGGUAGAUCAAAAAAAGAAGAAGAAAAGCCCACUAGUGUAGAGGGGACUACAGGAUGCCUUCUCUGACUAUCCUGAGCUGGCAGACAGAAGCAUCUCUUGAGCUGUAGGGACAAUGGACUAGUACUCUACAACCAAGCCCAUUUGUCCAGGAACCCCUAGCCCAAACUGAGAUAUUAACAAAACAGAAAGCAAUUCCCCCCCACCCCGCCUCAGGAAAGAAUAAACCUCAUACCAGGCUAAAAAGGAUACCCACAGAUCAGCACAAAUGGUAGAGAGGCUAAAAGCCCAAAGCUCAAAAAGAAGGAAGGAUGGAUUAGAAGUAGGAUUAGACUCAAGAACUUCGGGAGACAGAACUAAGAUUGAGACAAUAAAAAAGCAUAAGAGACAUAAAGGUGACAUUUUAGAAAAAAAAUCGAGAGAUGGAACGAAUGAAAGAGCUAAGAACCAUGGAAUGAGAAACUCUAACAUAUGUCUAUAACUGGAGUUCCAAAACAAAAAGAGAAAAGAAAAAAUCCAAAGAACAGAGAAGAAACAUUUUUUAAAAUAGCUGAGAAAAUUCUAAGAUUUAAUGAUACAACAUUCUUCCCUCAUCCCAAAAAAGACAGAGAAGGUGUCUAGCAGGAUAAUUUAAACUAAUCCAAAUCAAAACACACUACAGAGUAACCUCAGAGCACCAAAGACAAGAGCAGGACCUUAAAAGCAACUAGAGAGAAAAGACAGGUUACUCAUAAAGAAUACUAUGAGACCAAAGGCAGACCACUUAAAACAAUACAUACCAGAGGAUAAUGGCUAUAUAUAAAUUAUGGCGAAAGAAAUAACUGUCAAUUUGGAUUUAAGAAUUCUUUUUCAUUUAAGAAUGAGAAUAGACAUAUUCAAAGAUAAAGCAACUACUACCAAUAGAUCCCUGCUGACAGACCUACUAAAGGACAUAUUUCAGCAAGAAAAUGAAAGCCAGAGAGACCAGAAAGAAGGAAUACUGAUAAACCAGCAACCUAGAUAAAGUGAAACAAGUGGUGACCCUAUACUAAUAUCAACAAUAAAAUUUGAAGGGAAUUAAAUUAUAGAUAGGUACGUAAGCAGAAUAUGCAAGUACAAAAUAAAAUAAAAGACAGAAUUAAAAUGCUUAGGCAGCAAUAAUAUAUAAGGUGGAAGGGGGAUAUGAAGUUGCAAGGUUUCAAGAUUCUUAUUAUUUGGGGAGAGGCUAGAGAUACUAAUUUUAGCCCUUGUUGAGAAUGAAUGUUAAAAAUUUAAAGACAAUCUAGGAAAAACAAAGAGUUUUUAACAUUCAAACUAAACUCUUACUCAAAUGGAAGUUAUUGGCAAUGUUCUAGAUCUUGGAUUAGGUGGUAGGUUCAGCGGUAUUCAUUACGAUGUACAUUAUUACUGGUUACAUUAUACUGUAUUAAUAAUUGUUAAAGAAAAGAGAGAAAACAAGAAAAAAGAAUAGGAGGCAAGAAAAGUAAAAGAAGCAAUGAAAAAGCAAGGUAAAUAAAACACAAAACUGAUGAGAGGAAUGAAUUCAAACCCAUCAGUAAUCUAAAUACGUGUUAACAGACUAAACUGACCAACUCUAACAGCAGCUAUAGGCCAUUCAACAGUCCUAAACCAUACAGACAUAUAGGCUGAAAUAAAGAGAUGGAAGAAGUACUCCGAGCAAAUACUAACCAUAUGAAAGUUGGUUAUAUUAUUUUCAGAUAACACAGACUGUAGGAUAAAAAUCAUUAUUAAGAACAGAGAAGGUCAAGAACUUAAAAAUUCAGUAACUCUGAUUACAUGUAUCUAAUAACAUAGCUGCAAAACAUAUAAAGUAAAAACUGAAGGUUACUAGGAGAAAUUGAUAUAUCCAAGGUUAAAGGGUGAGACUGACCCAACUCUCUUGGUAACACAGGUUAUGGGAUUGGAAAAUGUAUAGAGGAUGCAAACACAAUUAAUAAAUCUACUUUAUUGAACACAUGA